rnacentral:rRNA from 1 species
CUGGCUCAGGACGAACGCUGGCGGCGUGCUUAACACAUGCAAGUCGAACGAUGAACC